rnacentral:rRNA from 1 species
CCCUUAGAUGUUCUGGGCUGCACGCGUGCUACAAUGGCGUUUCCAGCAAGUCUGCGAACCCGAGAGGGCCAGCGGAUCUUCGAAUUGGCGUCGUGAUCGGGACAGUCGAUUGCAAUUAUUUGACUCAAACGAGGAAUUCCUUGUAAUCGCGAUUCAUCAUAUCGCGCUGAAUACGUCCCUGCCCUUUGUACACACCGCCCGUCGCUCCUACCGAUUGAGCGAUCCGGUAAAUGUUUUGGAUUGGUGCCGGGGCGGCUAGCUGCCGGUCGCUACGAAAUUUUGUGAACCUUAUCGCUUAGAGGAAGGAAAAGUCGUAACA